GACCUUGCAUGGCAUCUUUCUGAAAUUCCUCGACCAUCCGAGCUUCUAUAAUACCAUCCAGACUUCUCCGAUAAUGAGCUCCUCCAUUCAGCUAUCAGACUGCUCCAAAUACUUUCUGAGCUUCACUAUCAGUCGAUUUUUUAUAGUAACCAGACUCCAUCCAAGUUUCUACGGUGGUCGACCACCUUUCAAAUUUCAUCCGAGCUCCUACAAGAGCCGGACUCCGUCUGAACUUCUACAGUGGAUGGAUCCCAGACGAACUUCUACGACG
rnacentral:lncRNA from 1 species